rnacentral:rRNA from 1 species
UAUACAACUUUCAACAACGGAUCUCUUGGCUCUCGCAUCGAUGAAGAACGCAGCGAAAUGCGAUAAGUAAUGUGAAUUGCAGAAUUCAGUGAAUCAUCGAAUCUUUGAACGCACCUUGCGCCCCUUGGUAUUCCGAGGGGCACGCCUGUUCGAGUGUCGUGA